ensembl:lncRNA
CUUUUAUUUUGUGGAGAGGAAGUAGACUAAAGCAGCUGAGGAGAAUUGUUUGACUACAUAUAAAUGUACAUUGCAUACAUGUAUUUGGAUUUUGGCAGGUUUCAUGAUUUAUAAGGUUUUUUUUCUUCCUCUGCAGAUUAGUGGCGUCAGUUCUCAAAUGUAUUCAUUAAGCUGUAAAGAAAAGGAAAGGGCCCACAGCAAAAGUUUGGACACCUUGCAGUUGACUAGGGGGCCCAAACUGCAUGCCAGUGAAACUCUGCUUUGGCAUCCGAGCACUUCAUGUUAUCUGUGGACCAGACCAUUGUGAAUGGCCAUAUCGCUAUCUUCAGUGAUGCACUUCUCUUGAUGUUUGGCUCUUACUACUGCAUGAACAUUUCUUAUCCAGUAGCCCAGGCAGCAACCUU